rnacentral:rRNA from 1 species
AACGAACGCUGGCGGCAUGCCUAACACAUGCAAGUCGAACGAGAUCUUCGGGUCUAGUGGCGCACGGGUGCGUAACGCGUGGGAAUCUGCCCUUUGGUUCGGAAUAACAGUUGGAAACGACUGCUAAUACCGGAUGAUGACGAAAGUCCAAAGAUUUAUCGCCAGAGGAUGAGCCCGCGUAGGAUUAGCUAGUUGGUGUGGUAAAGGCGCACCAAGGCGACGAUCCUUAGCUGGUCUGAGAAGAUGAUCAGCCACACUGGGACUGAGACACGGCCCAGACUCCUACGGGAGGCAGCAGUGGGGAAUAUUGGACAAUGGGCGAAAGCCUGAUCCAGCAAUGCCGCGUGAGUUAUGAAGGCCUUAGGGUUGUAAAGCUCUUUUACCCGGGAUGAUAAUGACAGUACCGGGAGAAUAAGCUCCGGCUAACUCCGUGCCAGCCGCCGCUGUAA